rnacentral:rRNA from 1 species
UACGGGGGGGGUAAGCGUUGUUCGGAAUUACUGGGCGUAAAGGGCGCGUAGGCGGUUCGUUAAGUCCUGUGUGAAAUCCCCCGGCUCAACUGGGGAACUGCACAGGAAACUAGCGGGCUUGAGUUCGGGAGAGGGAAGCGGAAUUCCGGGUGUAGCGGUGAAAUGCGUAGAUAUCCGGAGGAACACCGGUGGCGAAGGCGGCUUCCUGGACCGACACUGACGCUGAGGCGCGAAAGCUAGGGGAGCAAACGGG